GGUAUUUAUGGUGACAUUAGAUACUAGCAUUUAUUAGAAAAAACCAAAACUGAAUGAUUGCGUAAGUGGUCAUUUAGUGGGUGAAUCUAGAUAACUGAGCUGAUCGCAUAGCCUUGUGCUGGCGAUGUUUCGAUUGAAUUUCUGCCCUAUCAACUCGUUGGUAAGGUAGUGGCUUACCAAGGUUGCAACGGGUAACGGGGAAUCAGGGUUCGAUUCCGGAGAGGGAGCCUGAGAAACGGCUACCACAUCCAAGGAAGGCAGCAGGCGCGCAAAUUACCCAAUCCAGACAAUGGGAGGUGGUGACCAGAAGUACUGGGUGGUAGAUAUUAUCUACUAAUCCCGGAAUGAGCAUAAAGUAAAAAAUUAGUCGAGUAACAACUGGAGGGCAAGUCUGGUGCCAGCAGCCGCGGUAAUUCCAGCUCCAGUAGCCUGUCGUAAAGUUGUUGCGUUUAAAACGCUCGUAGUUGGAUCAUACGGUAUCAAUCAGUUGAUUUGCGUUUGUAAACGUCACAAUCAAUAUUAACGGAUAACUAGUUGGUUCUGGUUGGAAGUUAGUAUUGUUGUUUGCUACGUAGAUUGUUUGCUGAUUGAUGCUACUUGCAUGUAAGAAUGAUGGUUGGCCUUAAGUGCGUUGGCCRUUGUGUCUUACAGAGUGUGCCUUGAAUAAAUCAAAGUGCUCAAAGCAGGCUUGUGCCUGAAUGAUACAGCAUGGAACGAACAAAAGUGUAUAAUGUAUGAAUGAUGUGUAGUUUUACAUUGUUAUACAUAUCACCAGCCACCAUGUACGGAUGUUGGUUUCCGUGAUGGGGUGAUGAUUAAAACGAGCGGUUGGGGGCAUUGGUAUUUGGCCGCGAGAGGUGAAAUUCUUAGACCGGCCAAGGACUAACAAAAGCGAAGGCAUUUGCCAAGACCGUCUCGAUUGAUCAAGAACGAUAGUGAGAGGUUCGAAGACGAUCAGAUACCGUCCUAGUUCUCACCAUAAACGAUGCCGACCCGGGAUCAGUUUUGAGCUAAAUAUAACGCUCAGGGUUGGUCCCCCUGGGAAACCUAAAGUGUUUGGGUUACGGGGGGAGUAUGGUCGCAAGGCUGAAACUUAAAGGAAUUGACGGAAGGGCACCACCAGGGGUGGAGCCUGCGGCUUAAUUUGACUCAACACGGGAAAACUCACCAGCUCCGGACGUCAAAAGGAUAGACAGACUGAUAGAUCUUUCUUGAUAUGAUGUAUGGUGGUGCAUGGCCGUUCUUAGUUCGUGAAUUGGUUUGUCAGAUUAAUUUCGGUAACGAACGAGAUCAAAUUCUCUAUUUACGGCGUUGAAUGGUUGAUGUAUGUCAGCCCUACUUGCAUUGAAUAAUUGAGGAACAUGUUUCUGAUAUUACUUGAUGCGAGUUUACUUCAACGAUGUCAUAUGCAGCGAUGUGUGUGACUGCAUAGAGAGACAACUGACUAYAAUUAUAAAAUCAGAGGAAGUUUGGCAAUAACAGGUCUGUGAUGCCCUUAGACGUGCUGGGCUGCACGCGCGCUACAAUGAUAACGGCAAUAAGUUAUCUGAUCCGACAGGAUUGGGAAAUCUGCCAAUCGUUAUCGUGAUGGGGAUUGUUCAUUGUAAUUUGAACAUGAAAUAGGAAUCCCUUGUACGUGUACUUCAUCUAGAGUACGCGGAAUGGGUCCCUGCCCUUUGUACACACCGCCCGUCGCUACUACCGAGUGAAUGGCGUCAUGAUGCGUUGGGACUGGACACUGUUAGGUUUAACACCUGACGGUGCUAAG
rnacentral:rRNA from 1 species